rnacentral:rRNA from 1 species
GUGAGGAAUUUUCCGCAAUGGGCGAAAGCCUGACGGAGCAAUGCCGCGUGAAGGAUGAAGGCCUAUGGGUUGUAAACUUCUUUUCUCAGAAAAGAAUUAUGACGGUAUCUGAGGAAUAAGCAUCGGCUAACUCUGUGCCAGCAGCCGCGGUAAGACAGAGGAUGCAAGCGUUAUCCGGAAUGAUUGGGCGUAAAGCGUCUGUAGGUUGUUUAAAAAGUAUUCUGUCAAAGAUUAGGGCUUAACCCUAGAUAGGCAGAAUAAACUUUUAAGCUAGAGUUUGGUAGAGGCAGAGGAAAUUCCCGGUGGAGCGGUGAAAUGCGUAGAUAUCGGGAGGAACACCAAAGGCGAAGGCACUCUGCUGGGCCAAUACUAACACUGAGAGACGAAAGCGAGGGGAGCAAAUGGGAUUAGAAACCCCAGUAGUCC